CUGGGAAUCUUGCGCAAUGGGCGAAAGCCUGACGCAGCGACGCCGCGUGGGGGAUGAAUGCCCUCGGGUUGUAAACCCCUUUCAGCAGGGACGAAACUGACGGUACCUGCAGAAGAAGCCCCGGCCAACUACGUGCCAGCAGCCGCGGUAAGACGUAGGGGGCGAGCGUUGUCCGGAUUUAUUGGGCGUAAAGGGUUCCUAGGCGGCUGAGAAAGUCGGAUGUGAAAGCCCCAGGCUCAACCUGGGAAUGUCAUCCGAAACUGCUCUAGCUAGAGUCCGGUAGGGGCGUGUGGAAUCUCCGGUGUAGCGGUGAAAUGCUUAGAUAUCGGAGGGAACACCAGUGGCGAAGGCGGCACGCUGGGCCGGAACUGACGCUGAAGAACGAAAGCGUGGGUAGCAAACAG
rnacentral:rRNA from 1 species